rnacentral:rRNA from 1 species
GAUGAACGCUGGCGGCGUGCCUAAUACAUGCAAGUCGAGUGAACGGACGAGAAGCUUGCUUCUCUGAUGUUAGCGGCGGACGGGUGAGUAACACGUGGAUAACCUACCUAUAAGACUGGGAUAACUUCGGGAAACCGGAGCUAAUACCGGAUAAUAUUUUGAACCGCAUGGUUCAAAAGUGAAAGACGGUCUUGCUGUCACUUAUAGGUGGAUCCGCGCUGCAUUAGCUAGUUGGUAAGGUAACGGCUUACCAAGGCAACGAUGCAUAGCCGACCUGAGAGGGUGAUCGGCCACACUGGAACUGAGACACGGUCCAGACUCCUACGGGAGGCAGCAGUAGGGAAUCUUCCGCAAUGGGCGAAAGCCUGACGGAGCAACGCCGCGUGAGUGAUGAAGGUCUUCGGAUCGUAAAACUCUGUUAUUAGGGAAGAACAUAUGUGUAAGUAACUGUGCACAUCUUGACGGUACCUAAUCAGAAAGCCACGGCUAACUACGUG